GUGUAAGCCAGGUUGGUUUCUAUCUUUAAUUUUAUAUAAUAUUCUAGUACGAAAGGACCGAGUAUUAAAUUUAUAAUUUUUUUAUAGGAAUAUAAGUAAUAUUAUUUUGGCAGAGUAGUGCGUUAGAUUUAGAAUCUUUUUAUGUAAAUUAAUUUACAAAU
rnacentral:tRNA from 1 species